rnacentral:misc_RNA from 1 species
GAUGAAGAACGUAGCGAAAUGCGAUAAGUAAUGUGAAUUGCAGAAUUCAGUGAAUCAUCGAAUCUUUGAACGCACAUUGCGCCCGCCAGUAUUCUGGCGGGCAUGCCUGUCUGAGCGUCAUUUCAACCCUCAUGCCCCAAGGGCGUGGUGUUGGGGAUCGGCCAAAGCCCGCGAGGGACGGCCGGCCCCUAAAUCUAGUGGCGGACCCGUCGUGGCCUCCUCUGCGAAGUAGUGAUAUUCCGCAUCGGAGAGCGAUGAGCCCCUGCCGUUAAACCCCCAACUUUCCAAGGUUGACCUCAGAUCAGGUAGGAAUACCCGCUGAACUUAAGCAUAUCAAUAAGCGGAGGA